rfam:Trichoderma gamsii strain T6085 Scaffolds0132.1, whole genome shotgun sequence.
GCGGCCUUAGCUCAGCUGGGAGAGCGUCAGACUGAAGUUCCAACUUCAAGUCACUUGAUAUCUGAAGGUCGUGUGUUCGAUCCACACAGGCCGCA